AUCAAGGGAGUAGCUAGCGGUUUUGCCGUGAUGUUGUCGUCAAUCCGAAACUGUUUUCCGGCAACAUAUUAAAUAGCGAGACUUGUUUAUCAAAUAAACAGGUCUUUUUCU
rfam:Streptococcus sp. 'caviae' strain Cavy grass 6 NODE_4_length_217434_cov_212.721, whole genome shotgun sequence.